GACGAACGCUGGCGGCGUGCCUAAUACAUGCAAGUUGAGCGCUGAAGGUUGGUACUUGUACCAACUGGAUGAGCAGCGAACGGGUGAGUAACGCGUGGGGAAUCUGCCUUUGAGCGGGGGACAACAUUUGGAAACGAAUGCUAAUACCGCAUAAAAACUUUAAACACAAGUUUUAAGUUUGAAAGAUGCAAUUGCAUCACUCAAAGAUGAUCCCGCGUUGUAUUAGCUAGUUGGUGAGGUAAAGGCUCACCAAGGCGAGGAUACAUAGCCGACCUGAGAGGGUGAUCGGCCACAUUGGGACUGAGACACGGCCCAAACGCCUACGGGAGGCAGCAGUAGGGAAUCUUCGGCAAGGGACGAAAGUCUGACCGAGCAACGCCGGGGGAGUGAAGAAGGGUGUCGGAUCGGAAAACUCUGUUGGUAGAGAAGAAAGUUGGUGAGAGUGGAAAGCUCAUCAAGUGACGGUAACUACACAGAAAGGGACGGCUAACUACGUG
rnacentral:rRNA from 1 species